UUUUAAUCAUUUCUAAAUUUCGGAUAGCAACCAGAAACGAAGUUUUGGACCCCUAUUGAUCGCUUACUCUCAAGAUAAUAAAUUAGCGUGACCCUCUCUUGACGUAACAUACAUAUCCUCAAUAAUCCAAGAUGGCGAACAGCUCACUUUUUUCAGUCGAAAUAUUUUGAAAACUAAGCAAGAUAUAAACAAUGUGUAAUAUAGUGUAAUA